AAAUUGUGGGAAGAUGAUUGGCCAUUUCCUUGGAAGUGUGAGUAUUUUUCCAGGAAUGACACGGAGACUGGAGAAAGAAGGAUUGUUUGAAUGGCAGAGAAGCUGUAAGAACUAGCUCACUUCCGUUCCUACUUCACUAGAGGUUUCCUUACUCCUGGACCCAUCCAGAUGAAUGAGCAUACCAUGAAACUCGCUGGUUGCCGUGCUGUAGGGAAGGAGCCCUGGAUGUCGUUACAAUGACAUAUUCAAUCCCAAAGAGAUGCACUUGACUUCCUCUCACAAUUCAUUGGCCAAAACUAGUCAUAUGGUGACAUGGGGAAGUGGAAGGGCAACCUCACCAUGAUUCUAGGAGACUAAGAGGUGAAAACAAUAAAAAAAAAUAGCACUGAUGACUGGAACA